rnacentral:lncRNA from 1 species
CCAGAGACCCCUGGGAUUGCACAUGGCAGAAGCCACUCGAUUUUACCCACGCCCAAAAGGGGGAUGUCUCAACUGACGGAACAACAGGCUCCGGGGUGCAGCUAGGAGUGUGACCUCAGACACCUCCGCGACAGCUCGUAUUUGAUGGAGAAGGGGAAAUGGACCAGUGAGUUGAUAGUGCUACUCAUGAAGGAAUCUCUGGAAUAGAGGAAGUGGUUGGAAGAGUAAUGACCAGACAGGCAUCCGGUGUGUGUCCAAGGUCCAGCUAAAGAGUGACCUCCUUCCUUUCAUAAGGAAGCUUUGAAAUGGCCGCGAUUCCCCUCAUCGUCUUCCCCUGGGGCUGUGCAACCUGACUGAUGAUAUUCUCAUCUGCAGUUUUUGAUGAAGCUGGUAUAUUGACAGUUCUUAGCCAAGACCCUCYAUCCAAACUCAAAAUUUCAGUCUAUGGUCAGGUAGGAUGUAAGAAC